rnacentral:lncRNA from 1 species
UCAGUUAAUCACCAUACAAAACGUAGUUGAACAAUCAUAUCAUAAAUCCGACUCGAUUAUAACAACUUCAGUCAAAACUUCAACCAACAAUUGGUUCCAUCAGCCCUAGAUAAGUGUUUAGCUACUCAUAACAAAAUAAGAGGAAACUACUAAAUUGUUCAUAAUGGAAAAUUGCAAGAAUUAAAAGGAGAUAGAAAAACUCUAAUGUUUGGUUGAUCUUCUCCCACUUGUUCUUGCCUCCAAAAAUAGUUUUAAAAAAAAACUUGGAACAAUCUUGGGCGAGUUUCUAAAGCUUAUAAGGGUUUACAAAAGUUUAUCGAAAUUACACUUUUGUCCUCAAACUUCCAGCAGCGUGAACAGUGCACCGCGGUGGUGGCCAACCGCGAUGAGAGCUGUCCUUUCUGCCUCACGAUUAUAAACAAUCGCGGUUCACCGCGGUCGCGGUGGACUUCUUGCCCAAGCCAUUUUCUGCUUCUUAGUGCUCGGAUACUUCUCGAGUGGGCAUUUUCUUCACAUUAUCGCCUCCAAAACACUCCAUGUUGAUUCCUCUCAUAUAAUAUUCCCUGCGAAACAAAAGAACACUAUUCAGAGUCUUUUGUUGGCAAUUUAUCUAUAAAACACCAACAAAGUACGGUCAUAUUAAGGUGUAAAUAUCAACUAUAUAGCCUACUAUCAGUGUUCAUGGAAGUACAACGAGGACUGAACUCACAAAUGUUUAACUUAAAUGACUUAAAAUUUGACACUUCUCAAAAUAAUAGAUAAAAAUAGUCCGAUGAUUUGAAUUGAUGUUAUGUAUAUGGAAAAGAAUACAAGAUGAACUGAAUAAUGGAGAUCUAUCUAAAACUACGUAGAACACUGAUUGAAAGGUUUUGUUAAAGAAUGCAUACUAAUACUACUACUAAAAACAAUAAAACCAAAAAAAAAAAAAAAUAAUCAACAGUAACCAUCAAAAUGAUUUUGUUCUAGAGCACCAACAAUGCUGAUAAUAUUUUUCAUCAAGUUAUAAAAUAAUAGUAUCCAAGAACUUUCAUUAUUCAGUUCAUUUGAGUAUAUGGCAAUCUCUCUCUCUCUCUCAUGGGUACGUAAAUUGAAAUACUAAGGAAUGACUUGAAUCACAAUUCUACGAAUCUAAUUAGUAGAUAUAUUAAAUAAAUAAUGGUGAAUUAGGGCAUCAAUUUAACCUCGAAUUAAGCUAGUCAAGAAUCUUGCUAACCCUUUCUUGAACAAUACAUUUAUCAACAGUACCCUGCAUUGCAUGUAUUCUCCAUAUUUUCUAGUUAAGUCGGCUGUUAAUAGUAAGAGUCUCUGAUCUCGGUCAAUCAUCACCUCACGAGUUACCUUGCAUUUGAAUAAUUUCUUAACAUUGAACUCUUCAACUUGUCUUGAUACUGAUAAGCUUUUUCUCGCUCUCUAACUUUCUCUCUCGACGCAUUAUAGCGUGUUGGGCAUCCUACGCCUUGGCCGGAAAUGGGGAGGGGGAGGGGAAAACAUGGGCGAAUUUGUUUUCCAGUAAUAAGAUGGCGGCCAAAGGUAUGAAUCUGAAAUUUGUUGCUCCUACUAUCAGAGAUGGAACUUAAAUUGUUCAAUUAGAAAAAGAGGAUGUUGAACGAGAUAAUGAGAAAUGGAGACAAGCAAUUAUUUUGUAUGCUGUGGGAGAUUCUCCAAUCAUUGGAGCAGUGGAAAGGUUCAUCGCAAGUCAACGGGGAUUCACUGUUAAACCACGCGUAAUCUGAAUCCGAGAACAUCGAAUUCAACUCACGGUCAAACCUAUGAACUUUCCAAACCUUCAAAUUGUUAGGACCCGGUAGCACUAAACACUACUGCACAGCGGAAUAAAAUAAAUGAUCAAUGAAACCAAAAAUAAAUGACACAAUAUUUAACGUGGUUCACCUAAAACGUUUAGGCUACGUCCACAAAUCCGACACCAACUUCCACUAAAACAUUUAGCAGGCAUACAAAGAGAGACUUCCCCAAUAAUUUGGAGGUACAACAAUUCCUGAGCUCUACCCAAAAUAGUGGCGCACACAAAAGUGUUUCCCGAAAAAUACCCGACUAGUAUUUCUACUCACUAUUUUGUCACUCCCCUGUUAGGAAACAUUCCUAAAGGAACUAUAUCUCUCUCCCUCUCAAACUCUUUCUUCUUGAGUUUUGAUAUAUUUUUUUUGGUGUGUUAUACAAUGAAAUGGAAGGGGGUAUUUAUAGUUUUGAGAUAGGGACCAAAAGUGCAAAUCUCACCUACCAAGAAGGAUCAAUUUGCAAUAUUCCCAUCUCACCUACCACUCAUUGCAUCAUUGCUUAUCUCACUAAGGAGAGUUGCAUCAUUGCUUACCUCUCCCAUACAUCACAUAAUUGUUGGAAAAACUAACACAAAUUGUCAACUUUUACCAAAUAGUGUCGAAACCUUUUAGAAAUAUUCAAAUACAAAUUCGGGCAUAUGCCCAAGUCCAAAAUCAAGCUAUUGGAAUCAUCAAAAUACCAUUCAUGAGUCGUCUACACAAAAGUCAAACU